ACGUCAAUCCUGGUACUAUUCACUUUACCUUUUAUUUUGUCCUUAUCAUUAAAACUCAAAGUUUUCAAGCCAUUUUCAUUAGUUUUCCUUAUAAUUAAUUCAUAGAGAAUUAGUAAACUAUUUGCAGUUUUCCAUUUAGAAGUGAGUUCAAGUGAGAUUUCGUUAUAAAAAUUACAGGUAUUGACAAGUUGCAUUUGGAUAUAUAACUUUGUAUGUUGAUGGUGGCGGCCAUCCAACACUCCAACUUGGUCAAACUAGUUAUCACUGUACUGGUGAAUAUGAGGGCUAAACAUUCCUCAAUAAGCAGAGGAACAAAUUAAAGUUUUGAUAUAGAUUUGGUGCCAUUCCCUAAAAUUGGUGUCAGCAUCCACAAUUAUUCAGUAAUAAUGUCUUAAACAUGACAUAGAUAUCCAAUUGCAAUGAAUUAAAGUGAUGGCAAGCAAUAUAAACACAUUUAAGAGUCACUGAUCUCAACUGAUGGCCAUAGUCCUACUGUCAAUUAUCCUCCAAACCUAUUUCAACCACAUUUGAGCACUAAAACAAUAUUGUGAAGUGACAUCUUGGUACAAAUCAUAUCCAUUUUCCACGACAGUAUGACACAACUUUCCAAUUAGUGUGUAAUUUCCAUCGUUGUGGCCACCAAAAUUCUGUGUUUAUAAUUUGAGGAGAUUAUAAUGUAUUAAUUUCUUUAACGAAUAAUUCAUUUUUUCUACAAUUAAGUUUGACAUAAUUCUUUUAUUUCUUCCUUCAACAUAAGGGCACCAACACCAUCACACUCCUAUCAAUAGACAUGAAUUAUAAUACUUUUGGUUACUCAUUUUUUUAUUAAAACAAUAAACAUCAUCGAGAUUAUAUUAUUAACAUGUACUUACAAUUUUAGGAAAACUAAUGAAAAAAGCUUGAAAACUUUAAGUUUUAAUGAUAAGGACAAAAUAAAGGGUAAAAUGAAUAGUAUCAGAUUUGACUUUUUAGUAUAAAAAUGUGAUUUUUCGUUAAAGUGAACAGUACUACGGGUUUUUCGUUAAAACUCUGUACAAUGUUUAGGUUACAAUGGUAUAAAAAAACAUAUCGGCUUGGUGGCAGCAGAACAAGCAAGUCUAGCCCAUGAUUUAUAUUAGGGGAUCUUGAUGGGCCAAGUUUGGACCCCAACAAGAGCUUAUGCGAUGAGGCAGGCAAUGGGUUAAAUAUUUUAAUUAAUGGUUAACCAUUCAAUAUAUUAAGCCCAAGUUUAAACAAGAUGGAAACACUACUGGCGGUGGCGGCAAAGUCGAUGAACAACUUCGACUUUCUGCCUCGAAUCCGAUUCAAAUUUAACCAGAACCGACGGCGUCACUCAUGAAACUCGCGAGGCUCAUUACGCGCCACUUCACCACCUCCACGGUGGUUCAAAAAUCAGAGCGAGUGGCCGCCGGACCAAUCACGUUGAGCUCAAUCAAAGAGCUUCACGCACACCUUAUCAGAACCCACCUCCACAAAGACCCAUCGUCUCCCGUCUCCGAGGUUACCAGAGUUUACGCGCUAUCUCCGCCGCAUUUAAACAAAGCCCAUUUAGUCUUCGAUCAAAUAGAGCGACCCUCAUUUUUGGUUUGGAAUCAUAUGAUCCGUGGAUUGUCACAGAGUGAGAAACCAGGUGAAGCAAUUCACAUGUAUAAUCGUAUGUACCUUCAAGGAUUGGCCGGGAAUCAUGUGACUUUUAUAUUCGUUUUCAAGGCUUGUGGUCGAGCUUCUGAUGUUGGAAAUGGGAAAAGAGUCCAUGGACAUGCACUCAAACUUGGGUUCGAGUCGUAUCUUUUUGUAUCCAAUGCAUUAAUUUUAAUGUAUGCGUAUUGUGGUGGUUUGGGUCUUGCGCAGAAACUGUUUGACGGAAUGUGUCAGAGAGAUUUGGUCUCUUGGAAUUCUUUGAUAUGUGGAUAUAGUCAGUGCAAUAGGUUUAAGGAGGUUUUGGGUCUGUUUGAGGCAAUGCGGGCAGGGAAUGUGACGGCUGAUGCGGUGACGAUGGUGAAAGUUAUUUUGGCGUGUAAUUACUUGGGUGAAUGGGAGUUUGCUGAUUCUGUGGUUCAGUAUAUUGAAGAAAAUCAUGUUAGGAUUGAUGUUUACUUGGGAAACACUAUGAUAGAUAUGUAUGGACGGCGUGGUUUGGCGAAUUUGGCUGGGAAGUAUUUGAUCAGAUGCGUGAAAGAAAUAUAGUUUCGUGGAAUGCCAUGAUCACGGGAUAUGCAAAAGUGGGAAACUUGGUUAAUGCAAGAAAGCUUUUCAAUGAGAUGCCGAAGAGAAAUGUGGUGUCUUGGACUUCCAUGAUCACUUGUUACUCUCAAGCUAAUCAACAUACUGAGGCAGUGAGUCUUUUUCAAGAAAUGAUGGCAGCUGAUGUGAGACCGGAUGAAAUAACCAUUGCUAGUGUGCUUUCUGCUUGUGCCCGUGUGGGUUCACUUGAUGUGGGAGAGGCUGUCCACAACUACAUAAAGAAGCAUGGAGUGAAAACAGAUAUUUAUGUAGGAAAUACUUUGAUAGAUAUGUAUUGCAAAUGUGGGCUGGUUGAGAAGGCAAUGGAGGUGUUCCAAUGGAUGGAAAAGAAAGACGCUGUGUCAUGGACUUCGGUAAUCUCAGGCCUUGCUGUGAACGGUUUUGCAGAUUCUGCACUCGAAUUCUUCUCACAGAUGCUGAGAGAAGGUGUUCGACCAACUCAUGGAACGUUUGUUGGGAUUUUGUUAGCUUGCACUCAUGCGGGUUUAGUAGAGAAAGGAUUGGAAUAUUUUGAAAGCAUGGAAAAGAUUCAUGGACUGAUGCCAGAAAUGAAACACUACGGAUGUGUUGUGGAUCUUUUGAGUCGGUCUGGAAAACUAGAGAAGGCUUAUGAGUUCAUACAAAAUAUGCCCGUUGUUCCACAUGUCGUAGUAUGGAGGAUAUUGCUGAGUGCUUGCAAGGUUCAUGGAAAUGUGGCCCUAGCUGAGAGUGUCACAGCCAAGCUUGUUGAACUGGAUCCUUCUAACAGUGGGAAUUACAUUCUGUCAUCGAGUACUUACGCAGGUUCGGAUAGAUGGGAUGAUGCUCUGAGAAUGAGAGAAUUGAUGGGUGAGAGCAAGGUGCAAAAGCCAUUUGGUCGUAGUGCCAUCGAAAUAGACGGCAUAUUUUCGAACUCUCAGAAUUCGGGACUCACUUGAUUGCAUAUGAGCAUUGGCAAUCGCUUAUCUGCUCAACAUCGAAUCUGCUCAACAUCGAAUUGACACAGCUACUCUUGGAAGAUAUAUAUUGCAAUCGAGGUUUAUCUCUAAAAGUUGCAGUGUUUUCGAAUUUCGAUCCGAUUCCUGAGAGGACAAAGUAGUGAGGGUCUGGAAAGUUGGAAGUUUCAUUUCAAGUGAAAAAAUGUGGCUUUACGAUGGAGAGGCACGAAGUGCAGAGAAACCAUUGUGUACUAGUUAUACCUUCAUAAGAUCUCGGCUACAGAACAGUAGCAGUUAUGCAGAACAACAAGAUUGACCGAAAGCAUACGACGUGGGAAGGACCCUUCACCUGUGAUAUUCAUUAGUGCGUGUUUGCUUAUGUUUAUACGUUCAUAUUAUAAUACGUAGAUUGAUAACAUGUUAACAGAAGAAAAAUUGACAAAUAAGUUAGCCUUACUUACAACCAAUUUAGAAUAUGUACAUAAAAAAAAGGUUCAACGCAUAUGGCUUGUCGUAUACACUCAUCUUUCUUCACCCUUGUGCCUUUGUAUUCUUUUCAUUUUUUACAAGUCAAUGUCCAUUUCAUAUCACAAAACUACAAUAACCAUGAUUUAUUAAUUAUAAUUCAGAUAUCUGACGUACUUCCUAUCGUAUUAAGAAAUUAGGAAUUGGGACAAACCAUACAUAUCAUGGUAACGUCUUCCUGCAUGUGCACAAGACUGACAAACACAACACAAGAAGCGCCCGACUCUUGUGCCUGUAGAAACAAAAUACCAAGGUUUUUUUUUUUUUUUUUUUUUUUUUUUAAAUUUUUUUUUUUUUUUUUUUAAAGAGAAGUAAAUACUAAGUUAAACGGGAGGUGGAUUGUCUGUCCUUCCAUUUUCAUACUUUUUUCAUCCCCUCCUGUUUGUGUGGUCACGGUUAAGUUACAUCAAUAUUUUAUAUUGAUUUUUUUAUAAAAAUAAUAAAACAAAAAGUAAUAAGAAUAUAAAAUGUUGACGUGUCUUAACCGUGACCAUAAAAAACAACAGGGGAUGAGAAGAAUAUGGAAAUGGAAGGAUAGACAAUCCACCUCCAGUUAAACAACCAAUAGACCUCGAAUAAAUUGUUAAAAAAUAAGCCAACUAUAUAUGUCAUACCGAUGCACCACCAACUAUUUAUUAUACCAUAUAGUAGGAGUAGCAUAUUCCACGCAGAUGGUUCGGAGGCCAUUCAACCCACUACAGACCUCUGUGACUGAGGUAUGCAGAUCAAAAAGUUCGGAGCACUUAAUUUCAAUUUUACGUUUCAUAUGAAUUCAUCUUAUUAAUUUGCUUAACAAAAAUUAAAAUUUGAACAAUUUAAAUUUCAUUGUUAAAUUUCUUUAUAAGUUCUGAAUAUAAAGAUCGGAGUGGAUUCAAAUCCAUAGGUCGUGGACUCAAUUUUUAUCAUUAAACACAUUUGACUAAUGAAGCUUACAUCAUUAAGAAAAGGCAAUAAAACGAGCAUUAUCUCAUAAGCAUGGAUCCUUUGGUUCCACGCACAAUAGGGCAUCUCCCUUGAAAUAUUAUUAUUUAGGGUUUUUGGCAUCACGAGCGACAGUUGGUGCCGACUCGUAUCUGACUAGACACUUGCGUGGCAUACAUUUUCCCUCAUUGUUAUUUUUGGUAAAGAAAUGCUAAAAAGAUAUUUUUAAAAGCACGUUUUUUAUGAGUUUUUUAUUAUUUUUUAUUAUUUUAUAAUAUUUCAUAUUAACACAAAAAUUAACAUCAUAAUAAUUAUGAAAUGGGAGAGAAUACGCGAAGAGAAAGAGCAUUCUUAGCAUUUCUUUUUCGGGAAUCCAAAUAUUACCGUACUCUGACCUUUCUGCAGAUAGUUGCACAUUUUAAAUCUCCAAAUGAUUCCGGGACCAUCGUGUGGGUAGGUGUGUCAACGGUUACAAAAUAUCAUCCCAUAUAUUAUUCACGUGGAAGUUAGUCAGUGCUAGACGUGCAACAAAACCUGGCCCCACAACAAGAAAAUUUUAGUUACGAUAAAAAUACGAGUAGUACAUCAUGUAUUUUAUGUAAAUUGUAAAAAUUUUUAUUUUUUAAGUUAUUAACUUUUUAACACACAUAUCUCACUAUUUAUAUAGCAACACGUGGUGGUGUACCAUCCCGUAUGACAGUCAUAUUGAAAAAUCUCUCUCCCACGACAACAGAUAGUUCAUGUGGUACUCAAUAACUUGUGCGAAGCGGAAACACAAAAUAAUUGUAAUUUAAACCAAACAUGCAUUAUCACAUAAAGAGCAUGCAAGACCACUUACACUUUUUUUGUUUUUUUGGCAAUGGUUCGUGAAAAAACAACACAACAUCGUACAAUUGUUUUCGGAAGGGAAGAUUUAUAACAAAGAACGUGACUGCAUUUGAAUUUAAUCAUGCAAGAGUAUUCUUGUGUUAAGUUUGUCUGUUUGUAACACUACUAAAUCGCUCUCAUUUCAGAUAGUGUAGGUAAGUUUUUAACAGUAGCUAGGGAACUCCUCCUAUAAACCUGGUAAGCCCAUUUAUGUUUUUUUUGAGAAAAUGUACGAUAUUUAUUGAAGAAGAAACAACGUACAAUCUACAAGGAUAGGGCCCAUAAUGGGUCUCAAUAAAAACCUUACUGAGAUCAGACGAAUGGAAAAAAAAUGUCCCACACAAAAAUAAAAAAACGAACUAUCCUCCAAAACUACAAUCAAGUAAGAACUACAUAUUACUAUCAUCCAUGAGAGCAUCCGAGAUUAAUGAAAAGAAGAAAAACAAAUUUCUUGCUUGUAAUUAAAGAGUUGAUAUUGGAAAAUUUGGUGAAACUCGCACUAGUUAAAGAAAAAGCAGGAUUAUAGGAUAAUUAGGUCAAAUUAGGUGAAAUAUUCAAAUGUGGGGUUAAAGAAAAUUUAUGUAUUUGAUUUCCUACAAUUAUCUUUUGAUUGAUUGGUGAAUCAGGAUGUUUUUCUCAUUGGCUAAAUUGUGGAUAACCAAAAUAUUUAAUCCAUAAAACUAUCCUUCUUUGGUCGAAAAAUUAAUAAGAUGAUUAUAUCCUGAUUGUCCUAAAUGAUCUCUUAUCUAUUCACAAAGAAAAUGAUCCACAUGUAUUAAAAAACUGAUCUCAUAUUUGAGGUAAUUACUUUAAAGGCAUACUUGUUGAUUUACUCCUUGAUUUUGUAUCGAGCUGCUAAUUUUCCUUUUAAAUUUAAUUUUAGCUAAUUAUUCUCAUAAUUAGCUAAUUUUUCCUUGAACAUUAAUUUUAUCCAAUUACCCACCUGAACUUUUGUAUAUAGUCAAUUCCUCCUUGCAAUUAGAUUUUAAAAUUUUUCAUCUAAUUUUCUUCUAUCUUGAUCACGUAAAUAAUGGGUAAAUCAACAGUACCUCUUACUUCAAAUGUUUCUCUUUUUGGUUACAUCAUCUAAAUCAUCUUUGAAAGAUAUUACUAAUCAAAAUUAAAUUCAUUACUAAUCAAAAUUAAGUUCUCUGUGGGGACAACAUGCAGGACAAUACGGACGCCUGCUUACGUGAAUCUGACUGUGCAUUUCGUGGAAUACACUCACCAGUCGUGAAUAUCUGUUGAGGAAAAUCAUGCAUCCAUAUGGUACUUGCUAAUUCAGUUACUUCCAAACAGGAAUAAUUUUAGAGAGAUUAUAUUCACACAUUUCAAAUUAUUUCUUCUACAUUUUUUUUAAUUUUUUAAUAUUUUCUACAUACCACUAACACAGAAAAAUAUUAAAAAAUUAAAAGGGGGUGAGAGAAGUAAUUUGGGAUGUGUGAAUAUAAUCUCUCUAAUUUUAUACUCAUAUUUAUGCACCGUUGAAAAAUUAAUUACUACUUAAUAGUAUUUGUGAGAAAUUUUUCUGUAUAAUUAUAACAUUGUGUAGUAAUUGUUCCAUUUGUAUCGUCAUGUUAUAACAUGUGUAUUAGGGUUUAUGAUAGUGCUAUUCACACACUUUUACUUUCUAUACACCCUUAUUAAUUUUUAGUCAUUGAUCUUUUUUAAUUUAUUCGAUCCAACGGUACAAAGUUAAACUAGGUGUGUGAGAAGUAAAAAUAUGUGUGUGGAUGACACUACCUUAUAAAUAAUAUCGUGAUUGUAAUACUCAAAAUUUCUUUUAUUUGAGGUGUAGUUUACCUCCUAUGAGGGAUAUAUGCAAAAGUGCGAUGUAACAGUCUAACACAUGGUAGUAUAAAAUUUGGGAAAACCAUAAUAUCUAUAAAUUGUUAUCUGCACUCUAAAAUUUAUUAGCACUUCAAAAUUUUUAUUUUGCACUUUAAUUUUUUUAUAUUAAAAAAUAUACUAACGAAGAAUAUGAGAUUUUUAGAGUACAAUAACAGUUUCCUAUCCUUGAGGGAUCUAACUUUUAAUAUAUACCUAAUUUUCGCCAACUUUCAAAGUCACAAAUGUAGUAUUAUAUCAAGUUUAUAUCCUCCUAUCAUGUAAUUUUUUACAUCUCAAUUACACAGGGAGCUUAAGGGGAGGGAUCUCCAUUUUUUCAAAAAAAAUUGGGACACGCUCCCCACCGUUAGAUUGACUUUAAUGAAAUUGUGUGGUUGAGAUUAAAACACAGGCCAUAGAAUCUCAACCACAGGAUUUCAUUUAAUUCAAAUCUAACGGUGGGGAGCGUGUCCCCAUUUUUUCAAAAAAAUGGGGAUCCCUCCCCUUAAGCAAUUCCCUCAAUUACAAUAUCAAAGGCGGGAGAAAGUAAACUUCAAGAUCCCAAUCACGAUGAAAAUUCCAAUCCCUAGAAAAGAAUGGAAAAAAGUGUGAUGGUAACGGAUUAUAAUACUUUGGUUUUGGAUUAUUAUCGAUAGUGGAUAUAAAUAUAUGCAUAUUAGAUUUCACCAUAUAUGAUUUUAUAAUCUAUAUAUUGCAACUUGGACCAAAUCUUAAUUUUAUAAUUCCAUAUGCCCACCGGCUUCCAACCCUAAGUAUAAAUAUUACACCAAGAACCGCUCUGUUCCCAUCAGAAAAGAAACCUACUCCGUGUCUACCUUCUUUUAUUUUGGGUGCAAACCUACUCUCUGUAUCUCAAACACGGAAAAAAAAAAAAGCAAGCAAAAAAAUGGGUAAGGGAGGCAAAGCUGCUGAGCCAGAAAACAUGGGUGCUUGGCUUCUUGGUGUUAACAACAUCAAGAUCCAACCUUUCAAGCUUCCCAGUGUGGGUAUGCACCAACCCUAAAUCUUUUUAUUUCGUUGCAGUUUCCUUUCGGUUUUUAGUUUUCAGACGAGAUAUUUAUGAUCAUAUUGGCUUACAUCUUGCUCCAUUUUCUUGGAUUUCUUAACUUUAGGGCCCAAUGAUGUUCGCGUUCGGGUCAAGGCUGUCGGCAUUUGUGGAAGUGAUGUUCACUACUUCAAGGUUCAUCUCCCUUCCAUGCCCUUUCCCCUGUUUUUAAUAAUUUUUUUUUUUAAUUUUGAAUUUUUGAUGAUUUUAGAUGACAUUGUUUAUUCCUGAAAUAAGAAUGAAAUCAAAGCAGAAACAUUGAUAAUUUUCUCUGUUAUAUCCGACAGCUCCGUACUAACCACUUAGGUUUUCUCUUCUUUUUUUUUGUUUCGGUUCAUUUUUCAGACAAUGAAAUGUGCAGAUUUUGAAGUUAAAGAGCCAAUGGUAAUUGGCCAUGAGUGUGCUGGGAUCGUUGAGGAAAUCGGGGGCGAGGUGAAGCAUCUUGCUCUCGGAGAUCGUGUGGCGGUAGAGCCCGGGAUCAGCUGCGCACGGUGCCAGCAGUGCAAAGGUGGAAGGUACAAUCUCUGCCCGGACAUGAAGUUUUUUGCCACCCCACCGGUUCAUGGUUCCUUGGCAAAUCAGGUAAAAAUAUUCACAAUCAUAGAAUUUUAUAGGCUUUGCGCCAGAUCGAUAUUGCAGCAUCGCAGACCUUAGGCUUGUCUGAUAACCAUUUCGAUUAACAGAUUGUACAUCCUGCGGAUCUGUGCUUUAAACUCCCGGAGAAUGUGAGUUUGGAGGAAGGGGCAAUGUGUGAGCCCUUGAGUGUAGGGGUUCAUGCUUGCCGGAGAGCCAAUGUCGGUCCGGAAUCAACUGUUCUGAUCAUCGGAGCCGGCCCCAUUGGUCUGGUUUCUGUUCUGGCUGCCCGUGCUUUCGGGUCACCAAGAAUCGUCAUUGUGGAUAUGGAUGACCAGCGUCUAGCGAUGGCGAAGUCUCUUGGUGCUAAUGACACCGUCAAAGUUUCGACAAAAAUGGAAGAUUUGGAUGAUGAAAUUGCCCAGAUUAAGAUAGCCAUGAAGUCCGACGUGGAUGUGAGCUUCGAUUGUGUCGGUUUUAACAAAACCAUGUCAACCGCUCUUGGUGCCACCCGUCCCGGCGGCAAAGUUUGCCUCGUCGGAAUGGGACACGGCACGAUGACAGUCCCACUUACUCCAGCUGCUGCCAGGUAUAAAGCGACUCCAUUUCGUGUCCUUUUUCUACCUUUUCUCGAUAAGAAUGUCCUACAUCAAUUAUUUUUUUAGGCAUUGUGGAUCAAUAGUGUAAUUGCAAAUAACUUUUGUUUCAGAGUUUUGUUUGCUUUAUCUGAUAAUUAGGGUUUUGUCUUUUGAACACAGGGAGGUUGAUGUUGUAGGAAUUUUCCGGUAUAAAAACACAUGGCCGCUUUGCCUCGAGUUUUUGAGAAGUGGGAGGAUCGCUGCCGCCGUGAAGCCUGCUCUCUUAUCGCGACGAGUUCUUAUCUCUUGGACAGCUGGUUCUUGGGUCGUGAAUGCGACAAAGUGAGGUUGAGUUAUGCAAUUAAGGAAACCCCAUGGUGACCCGAAUUUUAAGGGGGGAAUUGCCAUUAAGACGAAAUCAUGUUUUAUUUUGAGAUGAUAUAGAUGACGCUACCACUAAAUACUUGUGAUUUCGGCAUCACUUCCACUAUAGCACGCUUAUCUGUCUUGAGAAUUGGCUUUGGAAGAGAUUUGGAUAUAGUCUCCGAAUCACAUCUAUCAUGUUUCACAUACAAUUAUCAACGAGAAUCCUUUGAAAAUAGAUUAUGGAAACCUCUGUUGAUCGCUCGAGACAGAGACCCAGUGAUACCUUCAAUUAACCUUGGUUCGAUUUUUUAUUAUUUUUUUUCUCGUUUUUUACUUUUUAACUGGUAUGCUUGAAUUUGACCAUCCGAUAUUAGUACAUAUGAAGAAAGGCCCAUACAUGUAAGAUUGAAUGCCAAAAAGGGUCCUCUCUUAAAUAACGAGGCAUGUCUUUCUUGCUAGACAUAUCAACAACAAGGGUGUUGUUCAUCUCUAACUACAGGUUUGGUGGGCCUUCUCUCAUUUCCUUUGAUAUACGCCCUCUCAGACACUCGCUGUCACACUAGGGACGCACUUUCACAUACCUUCAUAUCUCGGUUCCGGACAUUGUUGUUAGAGAUUUCAUGAGUAUAGAUGAGAAUAGAAAUAUUGAAAUUGAGUGAAAAACUAGGGAGGAAUUGCGGAAAACUCACAUAUAUAAUAUAAUGGAAGAGGCGACAAAAGGACCUUCACCAUACUCACAGGCUAAGACGCUCUCUGAUGAGUUUACAGACCUCACUUUCCAAACGGUCUUGAUGAGUUUCUGUUAGGAUUUCCCUCAUUUGUCAGCUUGGCAGUUGAUUAUUUAAACAACUCAGCUCAUGUGCAGGUUCCUGUGUCUAAGUAGAUGGAGGCGCGACAUACUAUGCCUAAGAGUGAACGCAAGCGUCGUAGACUACAAUGCGACCGUGAAAUGUAUGAGAUCAAACUUAAUGCAUGAGUCCUAGAUUAACAAUCAAAGUGACUUCACUACAGGUGAUGAGUCCUAUACUUCGAUUAUAUAUAGAUAAGACGAUAAAUAAGAAAUAAACUUGGUGCCCAUUCAUUAGUACAUAUUGUAUAGAAAAAACAGUAGUUCUGUUCAUAUCAACAAAAAUCUGAGAUUCAAGAUUUGGACCUCUUCUAAUAUUGCGAGCAAGAGUACCAUUACUACCACGCAUACAAUGAGAUAUUCAGUUUAGAUUGGCCUCGUGUAUUUUCUAAGGUACAUGGAAUAGAAAAGGCCGCUUGCACCCGCAUCUUAUGGAUCAAAUGGAGUUAAUUUGAGAAAACUUAGUGCGAGUGGUGAGAGGAACCCAGUUAUGAGAGGGUUAUCCCAGAUUAUCUAAGGCUACCAGUAAUGCUAUAUGUGGGUUGUUCAGUCUAAAGCAGUUUAAGAUAAACACACGCAAUCUAUGCGAGAGUUGCAGGACAACUUCAUGAGAAAGUUUGAGAGCGAGCGCAGCGUGAGAGAGUGCACAUAUCUCCCAACUAGCUAGGAUGUGUUGCCGAGCACAUGUAAUGCCAAUAUAACUCCAACUUCUCUUCCACAUGAUUCCAAGAAAGGAAAACUCAUAUCGAAAUGCUCGCUCAUCACUUACAUCUAUGAUGGAGAUUGCGGGUCUCACUUUAACCCUGUACGAAUUGCUUAGUAGAUAUAAAAUGGAAUACACGAUAACCCUCUUUCCCAGGUGACCAUAUCAUUCUUGCGUUGUGUACUCAUGACACUUCUAAACACUCUUUGUAAGCUUUCCCCAACCUUUAGGAAGGGACCCAAUUUUUUUAGCAAAUGUGGUCACAUGUCUUUUCAAGGAUUUGCAAGUGUUUCUAUUUUUUAUUUUUUGGUUAGUAAAAAUAUACUUUAGUCUCUUCUGUUGGUAGAGCAACGCAACGCAAAUGGUACUCGGGCAAAAUGAGUGAACCAUGCAACUUCCUAAAAUGCCAUACCAUUCUUAUGGUCGAAGAUGUGCCUUACAACCUUCUUAUAUGGAGAGUUACGAUCUAUUACUACUUUUUGUUAGACUUCCAAGGUUGUGAUUAGAGUGUGAGGUCACACAUGAAUUAUGUGAGAACCUUUACUCCAACAGGGCAUUGGUAUCACAGCAUAUCACAAAUUAACCUACUUACUCAUAUACCAUUAUUUAAAACGUAAGUGUGUUACUAAGAAUGAAUGUAACGAAUGCUCAAAAUAGCCCACUCUCCCUUCAACCAUGUUACCACUUAUGGAAUGGCUAAUUUCUUUACUGCUAGGAAAAGGCCGUAUUGGUGAUGCACAUUGAGGCUUUGCUAGGCAGAUCGAAACAGGUGAUUAAAAAGUGAAAUGACAGGAGCAUAGUACGGUUCCCUAGUCACUAUAUCAUCAUUGGACCACACGAGAGUAGGGCAGGUGAAAACUUUAUUCAAAACAGUGUUAGCCACCGUCUCCUAAUCAGAUAUUAUGAGAAGGCCUUAGACACUAUAUGGGGAAACAAAUACGCCUAUAGUCACCAAAAUCUCCGGGUGAGUUGAAAGUAGAACAGCGGCUAUAUGAAUCUUAGAACGCCCAUUGGUUUGUCUGUGUUCAGAUUCUACAUCAGUUUCGAUUGCUUAUCGCUCUCUCUUCAAUUCGUCUAAGUGGUCAAAACCUCAAGAAUUUAUCUUAUACAGUUCUUUUUCUUACAAAUGGGGUCUCUUCCGAUAAGCGAUGAAAGAGUCAACUAUGUCUCUAAUAUGAGGUCAAUGUUGGAUCUCUUUUGUGUGAGUCGGCCCCGGGUCUCUGCAUGGGACGCUCCCCUCACGUCAUACAUACACACUGAUCCCAAUAGUCCGCCCAUCUUCCUAAGUAUAUAUCCGGCUCAAGCCUUCUACGUCCAGCUCUGAGCGCCAAAUCACUUUUACUGGUUGUUGAGCAGAGUUUCAUUAUCAUCAAAAAAACACCAACCCGGUAACCUCGAUAUUAGUUUAAGAUUGUGUUGUGGUUCUAAUACUUUCAAUCCUAAUCAUAUAUUAACUCGCCUAUAUUAACUUUCCUUACUUUUACACCCACCGAUGUGAGAUUCCAAACACUCCCCCUCACCUCGGGGAUAACUAUCCCAUCCCAUUCUCGUGAAGUUUCACAUUGUAUAAGCAUUCUCUCCGGUCAUCAGGUCAAUUGCACCAAACCCAUCCAAACGAAGCAAUCCUCACAAUUGCUUCCGCGGCUUCAUAUGCUUAAGAACGCUCCGCACUUUUGUUUGUGUGAAAGAACUUAGGAGAUUGGUUGAUAGCUCUUAUCUGAUUAAGCACGCCCAACAUUCUGUGCCAUAACAGCAUCGGCCGGCCUUUAAUUGCCGUCUAGUAAAAAGUCUUGUGCUUGUUUCCUUCCCUCUUGGAGCUUACAUCAAGCUCAAAAUGGUCGAAGCUUUUCACGGGCCCGAACCUGGCUCUGAUACCCGGCAGGUAAAACUGGUAACAACACGCCGAUUAAUUAAUCAUUUUGGAACUCACCAUGAGCACACCCACCAUAAAGAGGUCGCAAGAAAAUAUGCAAACAGAGAAAAAUAACUGGGAGUAAUUAAAUUAUAGUGAUCAUCGAGUUUGAAAACCAUUGCCCAUAAAAACCAGCACUAUAAUGUAUGGAACAAAGGGGAUGUAAAAGAAAGGCACACUAACAAAUAAGUUAAGCAUACAUACAAAUAGUCCUAUGAGUAACUAGUAGAUAAUUUAUCGGUGGUAUUUAAUAAGUUAGUCUCAAGAUUUGGUUUGCGCAUAUGUAUGCCACUAUUGCCCAAAUAAAGGUUGUCUCAUACCAGCACAAAAAUGAUAAUGGUUAUUAGAGUACUAACACCACUGCCAGGUGGAGACACCUAAAGUAUUUUUGAGGACGCCUGAGGUGCUUAAAAAAAUCACCCAUGAAAUUAAUAUGUAAUGUACUGCACGGCGGUUUUAGCCGUGCUUCUGGUAAACAUUGUGGAGAGAUAGAAAAUGUGUCCUUAAUAGUAUAUAGAGGAAUUUGAUAUGGCUGCCUGUGUAGAAUAAGCUGAAAUCAAAGGGAAAAAGCGUGAAGCUGCUCUUUGUAGGCGUUUUUGGAUAAUACACUUUCGGGUUUCUCUCAUAUAAUUGCCUCCAAAAUCACCUUCUUCUCCCAGGCACCUCUUGAACCAAGUAGCAAGAAAGCUAGCAAUCCACGACGAGCAAAUCACAGAGCUUCUUCUCAAUGAAAAGACUGCAAACUAUUAGUAAACUAGCCUUUGGGUAUAUUGUUUCCAGAGCACUUUUACAACAAAAGUUACCAAACACUCUGCCUGAUUUAUUGUCACAGCCGCUUAUGUCCGUCUACUCAGCAUCGCACAAUUUCUCUGCCUUGGAGGUCUGAGUGUCACGUCUGGGCACACCGUAAGCUUUUUUUUUCAAAUUCCUUCACGACCCAUCAAUACCUAAACCCAGCCCUCUAAAAAACUCACCACAAACACCUAGAGAGCCUGCUGCUCACGCACGAUAGACCCUUGUGCAAUAAUAUCAAACUGCCACUGAUAGAUUUACAAAAGACGUAAUAUACAGUCAUACUGGGCCUGAUUAUGCUCGAUGCCUCUGCGUAACCAUCCUCAGUACUGACCCCAGUUUUCUGUCCACCACCCAAGCAAGAAAAUAACUUUCAUGUAAAGACAUGGAACACCUAUUGAGUGCUUUAUUCGUCUAAAGUUGCUACACGAAAAGUUAUAUAUGUUGACAGAGCCAUAAGACAUCCACCAACAGUAGGCUAUAACACUCACGACAAAUUAUUGGGAUUUUUGGAGUUCAUUUGCUAUUUCCCUUCAAAUUAAACUCCGAACACACAUAAUCAGUGAUUAUUGAAACACAGAUAGAUUAUUAAAGCUAAAUGGUUCACCCCAGGAAUUAUAUGCAAACUGAGAGAGUGUAUUAAGAGCGAGUAAACUGUAUGCUUACACCAUGCGGGGUCCUCCCUGACUUCUAACCUUGUAUAAUAUAAGAUAAAUCAUGAGCAAUACAGAUGUUUUAUUGUUAAAUUCAUUCAAAAAUUUCUGUUCUUAUGUCUGAAUACUAUGAAUGACAGCAGUGAUUUGACUUCGAAGGUUUGUCAAUCCAAUGAUUAGAUAACAUCCAAUUACCUAUUACUCUUUCUUAUACUUGUAGUAGGAUUAGUAUCGCUUACGAAUUGUACGUAUUUCAACUUUAACUUAUUUUCUCCACUUUAAGCCAUGCAAAUAUAAACCUAGAAAUGGGCGGUGUUCAUUUGCAGUACAGCAUUCCUUAAGAGAGGCUAAGGGAUAAUCCGCACUCUUCAAAGAAGCAAGAAUAAAAAGUUAGUGUAUAUGAAGACUCACAUCACAAAGAAAAUCCCAUGCUCAAUUUCGUACUGAUGAGUUGAAUGCCGCCUGUUGGUAGCACUUCUCUUGAGGGGCAGUUGUCGUUCUAGCCUCUAUCUUAGAAAUUGGUUACAUUGUUAGAGAUUUUCUGCCCACAUCUGUACAGACAAUCAGAGACACGUCGAAAGUAAAGCAUAUUAUAUUAUAGACUCUAAACUAUCAUUUUCUUGUCUAGUCAUUGAAUUAUAUGUUAAGGUCCUUGCACUCGUGAGUAACAGCGCAGCACGGACGAUCAACACAUUCAUAUUCUCUAUUAAGCAUAUAUUUUUAGUAACAUAAUGCUUACAUAGAUAUCGUGCUUAACUGGCAGAACCUUGCAAACUGUCAGAGCGCACAUCGCAACUAGAAAACAAAUAAAGAAUCUCCAUCAAUGAGUACACAAGUAUAGUUAGAUAAUGAAAACUCCACAGUAUAGCUCUCUCAGUUACCAACAAAUUAAUCGACUUGGAAAGUAUAAAUGUGCCAAGCGAAUUAUUAUCAUACUUAACAAAAUUGCAAUCUAUGAUAUCGGUAUGCAAAAGGGUUCUUACCCCAAAAGAAAGGACAAGCCCCAUAUACUUGGAAGGUAAGAAAAGAUACGUAAGGAAUAUUAGCAACAAGGAGCAAACACAAGAAUCCUUGUUCCAAUAUUCCGAAUAAAAUCAACCAAGAUAGACCAGAGUUGAGGAAGAAUAGAACCGAAAAGAAAAUCGACAAGUUCUCAAGGCAAAGUAGACCCGCCAGCGCCAUAUAAAUAUAGUACCUUUCCCACUUUCUCUUCACUCGCCCAAAUAUGCACACGUCUUUAUAUCGCGCAUAUUAUUAAGCUGAGCUAAUCCACCAAUUAACUACGUAAUCAUUUUCCAAUUUUUCUCACUUACACUUACUUAAAUACACACACUAGAGUAAAAGUUUCCAUUUGUAGAUGAGGUGAGAAUAAAAAGUGGAGAGCGGAGAGGAUGUGUGUUAAAAACAAUUCUAUUAGAGAAUUCAUUUUCUGCUUUCAAAUUACUAAUCACAAUAGCAGGGAGCAAUUGGUUACACAAACCCAAACUGAUAAGGUACGCACUUCAAAUAUUGCCAAAUUAUCAAUCAUUCCUCGUCUACAUCUUCUCAUCCUUUUAAUUCACACCUCCUAUUAAAUAUCAUGCACUAUAAUAUUAUGAAUAGGUUAGUCCACGCUGAAGACUGUUGUACUUAGGCUAGCAGUCAGUUUAUAUUGUAACACUGGAGACUAGGUGUUAGUAUAUUAGAGAGAUUUGAAGUUAAUACGAGCCCUUACACACAAACAAUAUAGCAGUAUACACACAGAGGCUCUAGCUAUCAGCGAGAGGAUCUAUGGAAACCUAUUAUUCAAUGCCUGUCAACAGCACGGGAGUACACUCUUCUUCACAGCCUAGAUCAAAAAUGAGAUAACAACAAUACGCACAACAUAUUAACUACCAGAGAAAUAGACACAUUCUUUCCCGUAGCAUUUCAAGAGUAUUAAAAGGCUCAUCAUCUCUUAUUCAUAUACUCGUAUCCUAGAAUAGCUUUCGCGAGAAACAUUGCCAUCUCAGAAGAUCCAGACUCUGAUCCUUGGAACCACCAGAGUCAGUUAAUAUUGAGCACAACACUGCCGAAGGAUUAAUGAAGUUUUUGGUCUUUCAAAAAAUCCCUAUCCUCUUGAUGCUUUUAUUUUCUUUCAUUUGCUUGAACAAUCCCACAAAACACAAAACAAAGAGUAUAGACUCAUUGUCUAUUCAAAAAAUAUAAAGACUCUAUACUAAGUUAUCACGCCAAGAGAAAGUCGCAAAUAUAUGAAUGGUAUACAAUAAUGACCAUACCUAACAAUUGGUCUAGUAUAUAAGAGAUAUGUAAGAGCCAUUAUUAACAGAAUAGUACUGUACAUAACUGUUAAGCUGAACUCACUAAUUUAGUUAUAAUGAAUACAAUCUUCACUGACAUUAAAGGGCGUCUACUGUUUACAAUCCAGUAAACUAAGGAUUGGGGAUAGACUAAAAUGUAAAAAAAAGGAACAAACAAUACGUAGAGAGAGAGCGGAAUAGCCUGAACUAAGAGAAAACACAUUAGCUUGGCACUCCAUAUCUGUGGAACGCUCUCAUGCCCAGUUAUGCAUGCAUCUGCGAUCUCAACUUGACAAACCAAAUAACAUUCUCGAAACCCCUUAUCUAAUUCCUCAUAACAAGAAACACUAUAGCUCAGUCAAACAAAUCAUCAUCAUCUUCAUUAUUGCUUACAUAGAAUUCUUACAGGGUAAAAUUUAUUAAAUACAUACGCCUAUUAAAAACAGUAAGAAUAGGUAAUAAAGUGAUUAGUGAUAGAUAAUAAGUCAAUUGGACUUAAAUCAGCCAGAAAUGUUACAAAGUUCUUACUCGAAAGAGCGAGCGAGAGAGAGGCAUUAACUUAGUUGCAUUACUCACAGAGACCACUCAUUCAUACAAGGUCACGCGACACCUUAUGCAAUGAUAUAGAGAUCUAUAGAGGCGCGUAGCCUUUCACGCUCAAAAGAAAUCAAAUGUGAAAGAUCUAACCAGAAUAAUUAUGUCGUUUUAGCUCAUAAAAGAGAUGCACUAAUAACGUUGCACAACUGAUUAGAUUUAUCAGCCACCAUGCAAAGGAAACAGUUAUAUAUCAAGAACGUGAGUGUUCUACAGAUAGGUGAAUGUAAUGAGGCUAUUGAGGUCGACAAUAGAAAGGCUAUUUAAUGAAAGAUAAAAAUUCGCAGCAUUAAGGGUAUCCAUAAAGCGAAGAGCUUCAAAAAAAUGUGGCUAUGCAACCUGUAUAAUCCGACAAUUAUGGUCGACCAUCAUUAUUUAAUACAUAAUUCACAGUUGUAGAAAACAUCGCUAUUCAUAGCCAUAGCGUGUGUAGAGAAAAAACUAUUAUUGACUCACCUCUUUGCCGUCGAUGACUUUCGUGAAUUCAUAGGGAUUCAUCCGUCAAAUGUACAAUAUUGACAAUAGAGCAUCUUUUCAGAUCAUUAAGAUCGGUCUACGCAAUUUCUAGAAUGUAAGUCAAUAAGUUCAUAAUCGGAAGAGAGUGACUUUCGAGUGUUCCAUUAAUCUUGAAAUUAGAGCUGUCCACCUCUAUCUACUGGUCAACUCAUGCCGUCAAAAGCUUCACACGGAUAGGUUGUGUAUUUAAUGUAAGUCUACUUCACCCUAAUCAUGUUCAUCGUAUCAUAUGAGCAGCAGAAUAGGACCUGCUUUUACAAUGAAUCAUUCUAUGAGCACUUUAAUUUCAGAGGAUCAUUACAGGACUCCGGCUAUGUGCAUUUGGUUUUUUCAAAGAUAUGAAUUUAAAAACAUGGUAACAAGGCUAACAGAGGAAUAAGGAAUUUCACACAACACAUGCUUACUAAGUUCUUGAUCAUCGUGGUUUCAAAUUCAUCCAAUUAUAUCAUUUGAGUCGGGAAACUAACAAAAAUCUACUUCAAAACGAUAAAGAAAAUAAGACAAUAUUUUUUGGAUUUUCACAUUUUCUGAAUUUUUUUUUUUUGGUUUUUUUAAAGUAAACAAAACUCAUUAAGAAAACAAAAAGAAACAACACGGAAACAAAUCAAACCAGUUCUUAGUCGAAGGUACGAAAAUUUUCAAUUUGGUCAUUUUUUCAAUCCUUACCCCCAAACCUAAACUGGACAUUGUCCCCAAUGUCAAAAAACACAUUAAUGCAUAAAAUAAAAAUAAAAUAAAAUAAAAAGAAGGAAAAAUUAGUAUCCGGUCCCUAGUUUUUACUGUUCAUUGACUAAGAUUUUAUUAGUUCUCAAAUUUUGAUUCAAGUCCCUAGCAUUAAUGUGAUAAUGAAUUUACUUGUUUAUUAUAUAAUUUUUUAAUAUAAAAAUUAGUAAUUAAUUUAGGGUUUAAUACUCACACCUCUAUUAAACUUCUAAUUAAUUUUCAAUUCAAACAUUUCCAAAAUAAUAAAAAAUUAAAUUAAAUUAAGUUUGUACCUAUUAGUUUUUUUUAUAUAUAUAAAAAGAUUCUCAAUUUUUUAAUCUUAAAUGUACCCAUUCAUAUAAUUUUUCAAUUUUUUUAAUCUUAAAUGUACCCAUUCUCAAAUAUAUCAAUUUGUUAUAUGUAAAAUGUACCCUUUUUUUAAUAUAAAAUCCAUUCAAAUUUUUUAAUUCAUGUUUAAACUUAUAUGGGUACAUUCUUUUUCGUUGAUUUGAGAAUGUAUCCAUGUUUUGGUACAAUAACUUUUUUUGUUAAUUUUGGUUAAUGUACCCAUACAUGUAUGUAUAUAUAUACACACACACACACACACACAAUAUAAUAGAGAGUAUAAUUUAUAUUUUAUUAUUUUUAAUCCCAUAAAUUAUGGGUUUUUAUUUAAAAUCUCAUUAAUAUAAACAAUUACAAAUUUCAAUUUUUAAUUUUUAAUUAAAAAAAUAUAGUAACUUACAUUAUUACAUUAAUGUCAGGGACCUCAAUCAAAAACUAAAAACUAACAAGGUUUCAAUCAAAGAAUAUUGAUAGCUAGGGACCACAUCCAAAGUGUCCCUAAAAAGAAACAAAAUAAAACAUUUGGACUGAAAACUUCCCCAAUUUGUAUUUAAAUCAAGCGAUGACCCCCAAACUCCAAUUUUACAAUCAACUUCAAGGGUGGACAUGAUCAAACUUUCCGAGAGUAAUCAUCCAAGGGGGGCUGGUUCUUGGACAUUCGAGUAUGCAUAUACUACGAAGAGUACCUGACAUAAAAACAAAAACAAAAACACUUUUUUUAUGCAUAUACUACGAAGAGUACCUGACAUAAAAACAAAAACAAAAACACUAAUUAGACAAGAAAAGAAAACAAUAGAGAAAUAUGUAAUUAGAAAUAACAAUCCCCGGCAACGGCGCAAAAAUUUGAUAGGAUUAAAAAGCAUAUCACAAAGUAGCACACAAAUGUCCUAUUGAUUUUCCUUAUUAAAGCUAAGAUUUGUCAAUUGUAGCAUAUGAAAAUAAGAGUCUUUCCCGCAGAAGAUUGUUUUAUCUAACUACUUAAAACGUCACAAAAACUGGGCUGCUGUCCUAACUAAUAGCAAGACCUUUUGUGAUAAAACUCCACACCUGACGGAUUGGGCAAGUGGUAAAGUUAGAGCAGUAUCGGUGUUAUUAGAGUGGGGCCCCAUGGGCCCGUCGAUCCAAAAAUCUAACAUGGUAUUAGAGCCAAGGUUCGGGUCUGUGCAAGCUAACAAGCUUGUCACCGAGAAGGAAACAAGGUAGGACUCUUAACAUAGAGCCGGUCUCUGAGUUUUAUUGAAAACAAGUCUGGACUCCUAACAUAGAGCCGACUUCUAAGUUUUAGUUGCCGAUGUGUGGAUCUCCACAUAUGAACCACUAAUGACAUGUUUACGUAAGGGUAAUCAGAUUAAAAAAAGGGAAUUAAAUUCUGAUUACAGAGUACUCCGGUGUUUACUAAAUAUUAGGGAAUCAAAAAAGUGGUGGAGCCCACACGAAACAAGGAAUCCAAUUCCUGAAAUUGGAGGAACGGGAUCGAUGAGGUAUUUGAAUUCCCGGAGGGUGAGGGUAUUUGAAUUCCCUGGACCGACCAUUUAUCAAAUAUCACGCGGUCACAAGUGAAUGUUUUUUUAUAUUUUCAAAAGUAAAGUAGUUUCGUUUUGUGUGAAAAAUAUAAAAAAUGAAAAAAUUGUGGCCGCACGAUCUUUGAUAAAUAGUUGUUAUUAAUUGAUCUCAGGGACCCUAAUAAGAGGAUCCGGAAAUGAUCUAAUUCCAUACAUUAGCAUCAUAAAACUAGAAUAUCCCUGGUCAUUUUUCUUAUUAAAUAAAUAAUUUCAUAAAACAAACUUCAACGUUAUGUAAAGUCGUCUACAAGACGAAAACCACUAUAGGAGUUCAACAACAUCAAAACUAGUGCGAACAACAACCGCAUCAACAACUAAACAACACACAUAACCAAAACUAGUCUUAAUUAUUAACCAAUCGCAAGCAAACCAAAUCCUUACAAAGCUAAGUGCCGCCAACAAACCAAGAAAAAAUAGUUGAACAUGGUGCAAUUGUGUGUAUGUGGUUCAAUAUCCUAGUGAAUAGAAUUUUUGGUUUCCACUCAUACCUCCUGAUUUCGAAAUUUUCUCCUCCUUUAAAUUAUUGUAAUAGUUUUAAAUCAUCUUCCGUGAAUGAUAAUAAAUUAAAAAAGAAAUGGUGCAAUUGUGGGGAAACUGUCAUUAAAAAAGAAAUGGUGCAAUUUUGGGUUUCCACCCUUACCUUAUCUUAUAGACCGUCGUUAUGUUUUUCACAUUACCAAACGUCAAUGAAAGAGCCAUUUUAAUCGUCAAUAAAAGUUCUUCGAAAAGAAAAGGCUAACAAGAGUAGCAUAUUACACUUCACAGCUCUCCAGCGAAAAGUUCAAAUAACUAACCAAUUUAAUUUAGAGAGUUUUAACGAAAAACUCACGGUAUUGUUCACUUUAACGAAAAAUCACAUUUUUACACUAAAAAGUCAAACAUAGUACUAUUCAUUUUACCCUUUAUUUUGUCCUUAUCAUUAAAACUCAAAACUUUCAAAUCUUUUUCAUUAGUUUUCUUUUUAAUUUAUCAUCUUCAACAACAGUAUAUAUUUUAACAAGCACUAUAACAUAAUCAUUUGACCAAAAAAAAGUCACCAUAUCUACAGUUUCCUACAAGCACUUUUCUUUCUUUUUUCCUUCGAGUUCUCUCUCACCACUCCUAUUCCUUCUCUCUCUCUCUCUCUCUCUCUCUCUCUCUCUCUCUCUCUCUCUCUCUCUCUGUUUUUUUUUCCCUUCAAACUCUCCCCUCCGCCAUUUGUUGCUUCACCAAUUUUAGAUCUUACCGACCACUUGGGGCUCCAUUGUCCCAAAUCUCAUCGCUUCCAUCGUUGUCGAUGCAACUACAAUAGCAAAUCCAUCAUCCCAGAUCUAAUGGGCUUUGCCGUCGUCCUCGAAUCGACUAGUCGAAACUCAUCCAAAUCCACAAAAUUCAUUGAUUCGUGGUUGUCGAUGCAACUAACAAUAGCGAACCAUUGUCCCAGAUCUAACGGACAAUGUUGCCGUCCCCAAAUUUACUAGUUGCCGUAUCCCCAGUCUACGACCCAGACAACGUGUGGAGCAAAAACAUUGCAUGGUGUGGAGGAAAAACAAUGAAAUAAGAAUAGCUAACCUACGAAUUUCUUUCUCCUCUUCAUUAAAAUUUAAAUCUAGUGAGGGACUAUUCACAACUUCAAAAUAACGAGGCAUAUAACGAGCCUUUUGAAGCUGAAGCUUUGUGAUUUAUAUGUUAAAAUAGCCAAACAGCCUUGUAAACGAGGCUGCUAAAGAUCGAUGCUCUUAUACAUUGCAUCAUUCUAGGUUAUUGCUUUGACUUUUGACUUAACUCAUAAGCACUUAUUUCUAGACAAAUCACUUUGGCUACAUCAUUUAGAAACUUUAUCUCAUAUAUAUAUAUAUAUAUAUAUAUAUAUAUAUAUAUAUAUAAAGUGAGUACCCUAAAAUAGUGAAACAUUCAAAAUACCAUAAAUUACCCUUUAAGAAUUUCAUAAAUUACAAUCGAACCAAAAGAAGCUAAAGUAUUUAACCAUAUUUUUAUUUUGAAUGAAUUUAAUAUUUAAAAUUAUAGAAGAAAAAAAAUAAUAAAAACAAAACCUCCCACGUUAGUGGGUGGUUUCACGUCUUUAAUUCAUUUUUUUUAUAAUAAUUUUUUAAAAAUAUUUAAAUUAAUUAUUUAAAUAUAAAAAUAUAAAAAGAUCAAUUGCCAUAUGCGUAUGCGUGUGGCAAGAGGCUAGUACUAUUUAAAUAUAAGGGAAAAUAGGAUAAGAGGCCAACGGAAGAUGGUGAGCACAGGCCUUCGGCAAACCUAACCCACAUAACAUAUGUAAUUAAGUGAUAAGAUGGCCGAAUCAUGUUCACUAAUGGAAGAUGGGGAGGUCAUUUCAUACGUUCUCAGCGAAGUGAAUUGUUCUAUGAUUGCUUCCUCUUAGGUGCAUUUCGCAGUUUGGCAUUUAGACGAUUGAACCACUUUCACCAUAAAAACCCUCAUCUCCUUUGAGUACUUGUGUUCCUACAGCUUGAUACCAAUUUGACGCACCCAUAUUCUCCCAAAUAUAGUUGAGGCGACCGAAUCUAGUGCAAGAGAUCUUAAACGUUGCGGUGAACUACGCAACCAUGUCUUCAGGUUCAAUAACUCUUGGCCAAAAGGUGUUACUUCCUCGGCCGUAGUUGCCCAAGUGAUGAAGUCAGCAACACAUAUGACAUGACCAUCACAUCUUUUCUACUCUCCUUAUAGAGUUCGAUUACAAGUUGGUACGCUUACAUUCACAAGAAAGAUGUUUACUCAUAGUUACUCGGCAUGCGCGCCACUUAGGCACUGUAAUUUUCAAAGUCAACAAAAGGUUAACACAUAUAAUUAAAUUCAUUGGCAAAUGUGACAUAUUCUUAUUGGGUGAUGGAUCUCACAUAUGUUUUGGAGGCGACUUUCAGGGAGAAGAGAGAGUCUAUAAAUCAAAAUGAAAUUGAUUUUGAGUUUCAAAGAGUAAAAAUGUUGUGGAGCAAAAAAUAAUCACAAGGUGACACGUGGAUUUUUGGACAAAAGAGGGCAAAAAUACCAUUGAGGUACAACGGGGUUCCUACGCGUGAGCAGCGGGUAAUCAUCUUUCAACCAAAUCAAAAGUGCCCAAAAUAGGUAACAAAUUCAAAGUUAUUUCAUCUAUCCUCAUCCUAUAUUUUCCACAAGGUAAUUAUUUCAUAACCUUCAAAACAUCCUAUAUAAAUUACAUAACCCCCAAAAUAUUUAUUCCAAAAAUGUGUUGAUUAACCAAUUAAUGGAUUAAUUGCCUAAUUAAUGUAUUAAAUCACACAUUAAACCAUAAGUUACACCCUAAAAAACAUCCAAAGGGGACCGGCCACACUAUCCCUAUAAAUAGGCUCCCAUUUUCACCAAAAGAUCAUUUCAACACACUUCAAAGUUCCCAAUACUCUCCAAACACUUUUCUCUCUAAAUUCUAACUUUGGCAUCGGAGGUUCUUCGGCCAAAGCCCCCCAUUCAUCGUGGGCGCGUGAGGCUUUUGGUCUGGACCCUAAUGUGUUAAUUGUUUUAUAGAUGUAAUUUUGUCCACAAUCAAGAAAGAAAAAAUUUACAUUCACAAAUGUGACUUUUGAGUUAUAGGAGAUAAAAUAUAAUUAAAAUCGAGUUUUAUAAGGCGUAAAUAAAAAUAAACCUGAUAACAACUAAAUAAGAGUUAUUCCAAAAGGAAAAAGUGAACUAAAGUAAGAGGAUCUAAGCAUAUUCCACCUUAUCAUAUAUAUAUAUAUAAAAGCAUAUUCCACCUUAAUUAUAAAAUUGCACUUGGACUGAUUAAAUUCUCUCACAAACACUUUCGACUAGACAAAAUGAUUACUUUGGAUACAUCAUUGAAAAAUCCAUCGAAAACUAGUUUAAUUAAUUAAUUAAUAUAUUUCAACUUCGAAAGAGAAAUUUUUCAUUGUGACUGGAAUACGAGUGGUACGUACAUUAUGUGUUUUUAUAUAAUGAUGAGAAAUUUUAUUUUUUAAGUUAUUAACUUUUAAAUACACAUAUCCUACCAUUUGUAUAGUAAUACAUCAUAUACCACUCUGUAUAUUGAUCGUACUGAAAAAUCUCUCUAGAAGUUGGUAAGAACACUCCUAGGGCAAACCUAACCCACAACAUAUGCCAUAUGCCAUCGAAUCAUAUGGAAAUAAAAAACAUGCAUAAACGUGGAUCGUUCGUUUCAAGCAUACGGUCCAGUUAACGGAGACGUUAUCAUGUUGGAUACAUGCAUGAUUAGAAACAAUUGUUUCCUACGCGUAGUUGACGGUAUAUCGGCGUGGAAUCAUCAUCUCUGUCCUGUUAGGCUAUCACUGUCACUGUUAGCUGGGAGGGGAAGGAAUCCGGCGAGGAUUUGAAAUUUGAUGGAUUCCGUGAUGAUGUUUGUUCAUUAUAUAUUGUGCGAUCAGUUUUUAUUAGGUACCAUUUAUAUUUAAUUUAAAAUUUAAAAAUUAAAAUAAUUUCUGAUAUCAUAAUGUAUGAUGAACGGACACGUUCACGAAAUUCUCUGAAUUUUCUGAAAAGAAAUCCGGCAAGGAUUCUUUUCAGCUGGGAGGGAUCGGGAGGUAUCCAAUUAUUGACCAUACUACUACUACUAGGCGCUUUGUUGACUUUCCAUGCUGCUGCAUAUGUUAAACAACAAGGGGGACCAUUUGCAAAUUCGACGGCUCCAAAAAUAUAUCACACAUAUUUUUGACGUGGAAAUUAGUCACUCGAUGUAUGAUGCUUGCCAGAAAACAUAUAGGCUGGCAACCACAUAGAGAAAGAGACUGUCCAGCUAAUUAUAAUAACCCUAGCAAAACACUGAGUGUCCACUUAAUUUUUUUAAUUAAAUAAUUUUUUGUCUGUAAGUCAUGUGAUAUAUAGUAAACAUUAGAUAUUUAGGAUGUAACUUUUUUGUCCUUAAUCAGACAUUUACAAACAUAAAUAAAAACAAGAAGAUAAAUCAAAGCACAGUUGAUUUACUUGCAAUGCACCCAUUUUCUAGUAUCACAACCAUAACACCCCAUGUAUGUGACUUUUUAGUUGUUGGAUCUUUAGCGAUUAGAUUUUUGGUUGUAUAUUCAGUCGUUUAUUUAUUUAGCCCAUAAUAUGAGCUGGUUGAUCCUAGAAUUUACACACCUUACUAAUCUUCAUUAGUGAUCAACAUCAUAUCCAUUUAGGACAAUAUUUACAUACACCUAUUUACAAAGUUACGGAUAGUAAACGUUCAAAUACCAUAAUAAAAAAUGCUUGUUUUGGUUAAUUAUCAUAUAAAGAUACAUGUAUCCAUGCACCUAGAUGCAAUUAGCGUAUGUUCACAGUAAAAAUAUCGUCUAUUAAUUAUCAUCUGAAUGUCAUUUCUAAAAAAACAUUAAUCAAAUUGAAGAUUAUCAGGAUAACUAUUUGAAAAUCAAUAUUCAACGAAUAAGGAUUUGCUUUGUUUGGGGUAAAAAAAGUGAUCUGAGAUUUUAUCCGGUAGGAUCCCAUGUAUCAAGGCAGGUAAUUACUUCAAAUAUGUUUCUUUUUUAGUUGCAAUACCCUAAUCUUAGUUUUAACCUUCAAACCCACUCGACCACUACUGAAAAUUAGAUAAUUAAGAUGCGGGACCACAACGGACGGUUGCUACGUGAAUCUGACUCUGCAUGUCGUGGAAUCGAUUCAGCAAAUGCAUAAUGUCCGCUCAUUCAACUUUGGGCCUUCACCUACUCUUUUUGCAUCUUGUGAUUUAGAUUUGGCUGCUUCCGAGUUAAGGGGAGAGAUUUUUUAACGUGUCUGGAAUACGGAUUAUAUGUCAAAUGUAUUAAAUAAAUGGUAAAACGGUUUUUUUAGGUAUCUCUCAAUUUGUAUAAAAACAUACAACCUAUUUGUCGGUGUUCUAAACACACUAAAAAUCUCUAAUUAUGCACCCAAAAUCAAAUUUUUUUAAAUAUAUAAAUGUGCUUACAACGAUAUUUAAGUCAAUUAUAUAGUAUUACGGCGUGAUAUUUACAAUUGCACAAACAAGUUUCUCCAAAAAGGAGAGAGCAAUUCCAAUUCCAAUUCCAAUGGAAUAUACCCAAAAGUGUGAUUGUAGCGGACGAAUAAUAUAUUUGGCAAAACUGUGCAAGAGAUAAUAACAUAUCACCCACGGAAUAUCCAAAUUAGAUACGAAAAUGUUAUUAGCAUUCUAAAAAAAGUUAUUUCAGUUAUAGACAAGUAAUUGAUGGAAUUACGGGACAUUUCCAAAUGCAAUAUAUCUUUCGAAUUUUUUUUUCAAAAGAGAGGUUCAGUAUGACCUGUUGCAUUGUCAAUAGAACAUUUUGUUACUUAUAUUGCUUGACUCUUCUCUUUAAAUAAAACUUUUUUAUAUUUAUACAAAUUACAGUUAGACAUAUGUGCAUACAUUUUUUUUUAUAUAAUUUUGAUGACUUAUUUCUUACCCGUCAAAAAAUAAUUAAAAAAGAAUUAACGGCCCUCUCGAAACGGAUACUCUUUUCGGAAAAGAAAUUGGAUAAUAUUUGGGUUUUGGAUUAUCCUAAUUUUACAUAGCUGUACAAGUGCAACUUGAACAGAUCACACUCCUCCAAACUCAUAUAAAUACCACCCGCAUCCACUCUAUUUCCAUCAACAAAUCAAACAAGUCCGUGUAUUCUGUGUCUUCUGUGUUCAUUUUAUUUGGAGGAGAAGAAGUUUGUGUCUUUCAAACACAAACAAACACUCCAGAAAUAAAAAACCAGAGAAGAGUAAAAAAAAUGGGCAAGGGAGGCCAAUCCUGCAAUGGCAUGGUUAGACAAGCCAAACCUGUUGAGCAGGAAAACAUGGCUGCUUGGCUUGUUGAUGUCAACACCAUCAAGAUCCUACCUUUCAAGCUCCCCAGUAUCGGUAUGUAUCUCUCUCCUUGUUCUUAAUUCCGUCCUUCUUUCCUUCGGUUUUCAAUUUUUUGUUUUUAAUUCUCGGUUUUCUUAGUUGUAUUGAUGCUAACGUCUUGCUCCCCUGUUUUGUUGGGAUUUCUUAAUUUUAGGACCCAAUGAUGUUCGAAUUCGGAUCAAGGCUGUCGGCAUUUGUGGAAGUGAUGUUCACUACCUCAAGACCAUGAAAUGCGCGGAUUUUGAGGUUAAAGAGCCAAUGGUAAUCGGACAUGAGUGUGCCGGGAUCGUAGACAAAGUUGGGAGCGAGGUGAAGCAUUUGGUGCCUGGUGACCGCGUGGCGGUAGAGCCUGGCAUCAGCUGCGCACGGUGCCAGCAGUGCAAGGGAGGCCGCUAUAAUCUUUGCCCUGAUAUGAAGUUUUUCGCCACCCCACCGGUUCAUGGUUCCUUGGCUAAUCAGAUUGUGCACCCUGCGGAUCUGUGCUUUAAAUUGCCGGAAAACGUGAGUUUGGAGGAAGGGGCAAUGUGUGAGCCCUUGAGUGUUGGGGUUCACGCUUGUCGGCGAGCCAAUGUUGGUCCCGAGACAACUGUCCUGAUCAUCGGAGCAGGGCCUAUUGGUCUCGUUUCAGUUUUAGCCGCUCGUGCUUUCGGGGCACCAAGAAUUGUGAUUGUGGAUAUGGAUGACAAGCGUCUAGCAAUGGCAAAGUCUCUCGGUGCUGAUGAAGCCGUGAAAGUUUCGACAAAAAUGGAGGAUUUAGAUGAUGAAGUUGCCGAAAUUAAAAAAGCCAUGAUCUCCGAAGUGGAUGUGACCUUCGAUUGUGUGGGUUUCAACAAAACCAUGUCGACCGGCCUCAAUGCUACUCGUCCCGGCGGAAAAGUCUGCCUUGUAGGAAUGGGACACGGUGUGAUGACGGUGCCUCUGACUCCCGCUGCUGCUAGGGAGGUUGACGUUGUUGGAGUUUUCCGAUACCAGAACACAUGGCCGCUUUGCCUCGAGUUUUUGAGAAGUGGGAAGAUUGACGUGAAGCCGCUUAUCACACACCGUUUUGGAUUUACUGAGAAGGAGGUGGAAGAAGCGUUUGCAACAAGUGCUCGUGGGGGUAAUGCCAUCAAGGUGAUGUUCAAAUUGUAAAGACGAAGACAGGUUUUGAUGAUCAAAUUGUUAGUAGAAUGUAGAGGGUGGGGUGUUGGGGGGAUUAUUUACAUGUCAUAACUCAAUAAGCAAGUUCCGUUCCACUGUAUGGUUUUUUAAGUAAUAAUAGUAUUACUUUUGGUGGGCUUCUCAUUCUGUUUGUUUUGUUACCGCGGAGCUUAACAAAAAGGAAUCCUCCACUCCUUUGCUAACUCAAUGGUGGCGAGCCGCCGCCUCAAAUUCCCCAAGUGUGGCUAUUGAACGAAAAUGCAAUCAAAUUCCCAAGCGACAAAAGCCACGGUUUUUCCCCAUGUGUGGCUAUUGAAGAAAAUGUCACAAUGACAAGCCGCCUCCUCAAAAUUCGUGGCCAUAGCCUAAAUUUUAAUAGCAUUUUAGAACAGUAAGAAAAUAAAAAAUUCCCCAUUCUUAAAGCAUUUUUACCGACUCCCUUUGCUCCACCUAAAUCUCUUUAGAGCAAAUUACUGUGCAUGAUCGACAAAGAAAAGGUACUGUGGAUGGAAUUAUGCAACAAUAAGCAGAAAGGCUUGCAUUCAUACUAAAUCAAACUAAAUCUUAAAACCCUGUGGCCAAAGCCUAACUUUGGCGUGAAAGUGACGCAAUCAUUCAUGUCGAGACCAUAUUCUUCAUCUGCCCAAAAUGCUAGUUCACCUCAUAAACAAUUGCAAGGGAAUCGAACUCAAGUGCAACAAAACCCGAAAUCAUUGCAUUCCAAGGUUAACACUUCAAAUCCACAUACUCAAAUAUUUAAUCCAAAUUUAGUCUCAAAGAUUUGGAUAUGUGCUUUACGUUUAGACAUAAAUAUAAAUAUAAAAAUAAAAAUAUAGGUAUACGAAUAAAAGCUCUACAUAUAAAUAUAAAAAUAUAGGUACGAGAAUAAAAAUAAUUGCUCUCCUAUGCACUACAAAGUGAAGACAUAUAUAUAUAUAUAUAUAUAUAACUUUUGAGUUCAAAUGAAACUUAUGAGUUUCAAUAUAAGAUUUAAGUCUAAGAUAAAGGUCACGCUAAUAAGGUAUUCCAACAAGAAAAAUGACAUUAAGUUCUAACUUCAACCACCUCCAAUGCACACUCCAAAUUUAUUAAAACUUAAGACAAUGUUUUACCUUCCAAUGUACAUACUCAAACAUUGAAAAUCUAUUGGCUUGUUCAAGUGACUUUGUUCACAUCAAUUAUGAACCCGUCAAUUAUUGCCAAGGCGUGUUUGAGUGUGUAUUAUUGGGGCAUUCAUUAUCCAAUUGUUAUUAUAACUACAAAAUGUUAUUCUUAUCAUUUUUUUAUACCAAAAAAAAAAUGUUAUUCUCUAAUAGAAAUAGAACUCACAUGUGUUAGUGACUCUAUUUCUAUUAGAUAAAUAAUACAAAUGUAGUAUGAAAAAUAUAAUAAAUCUAGCAUUAGUCGUUCUAAUUGUUGUCCGUACAACGGCUCUUUGACUUUCAUACUCCAAACUUCGUCACUGACAUUUGAUGCGCCAGAAAAUCCCAAUUGACGGUUAUUAGUUAAAGAGUUUUCUUUGGUCCUUAGGAGACAUUGCAACAUUAUUUGAUAUUAGGCUAAGUGGUUUGCCUUGACAAUAUUGGUUUUGUAUUUUUUUAAACAAUCGAUAUUUCUACAUUAAGAUGAGUUGGAUGGGCUUAGCCUCACUAUGGACUAUCAAUAAUGUGGUUCAAAUUCGUCUUUAGCAAGAAUCAAACCUAAGACUUUUCACUUACAAAUGAAGAUGAAUAUUACUAGACCGUAGUACUAAGUGGUAGACAAUGUUAAUUUUAAUAAUCAGAUAUUUACUGGCCCCAUCAUACAUUUUUAUUUGAUAAACUUCAUAUUUAUAUCAUUGCCUAAAAUAAUAAGACAAAUUUAUUUUUUGUAGUGGUAAAUUAUUGAAUUUUUAACCCAUUACGUUAUGAAUUCAAACCUUAUCAUCCUCUUAUUGUCUAAAUUAAUUUAGUGGCUAAAAUAAAUAAAUAAUUUAUCUGAUAUCUGAUAUGAUCCCGUAUCAAUUGAGGUAACUACUCCAAAUAUUGUUCCUUCUAGGGUUGCAUCCCUAAUCUUGGUUUAAAUUAAAAAUUGCUCAACUAUCUCUAUCCAAAAAGUGAAGCGACCACAAAAUCUACCAAAAAUUGAAUCGACGUGGGACCUACGUGGUGGAGAGAGAGGAGGGAUGCUACAUCAAUCUGACUCUGCAUGCCGUGGAAUCCAUUCAACAGUCCCUAAUACCCGUUGAUUCUGUGGUACUGUGGAGUGUGGAUGGAAUUAUGCAACGAUAAAAUAGUGUAUUAAUCUGCACCAAGACAACUGGAAAUACAAUAAACAAAAAAGGCUGGACAUGGAUAUAAAAUUUACAUGCAAAUGGGAUAUUUUAUCGACGUCGACACUACUAGAAUUUUGGCUAAAAGCCACUUUUUUCAUUGGUGUCUAUUGUCAAGUGUGGACACUCUUAUUGGUGACAAACCUCAAUGGCUACCAAACAACCACUAAAUAAGAGAACAUGGCCUAUGUAGAGGACUUUAUUGUAACAACGGAAACCCUUAUUACAUUGGUGGCAUCUGCAAACAUUGCCACCCUAAUUCACAUUGGUGGCAAAGUUGCAAAUUGUGUUUUAAAAAAAAGGAUGCCCUGUGUGGGCACCCAAAUUGGAGUAUCAUAUUUCUUUUUUUGUUUUUGGUGAGAAAACAAAUUGUAAUAUCAUUAAAAUGUAAGAAUACAACUAUAAAUUUGCAUAACUGAUAUUUUAUACAAUUUUGUACAAAUGUUGGAACCAAACUUUAAAAAGUCUUCGAACCCUUUGUUUCCAAGAGCUUAAUCAUCUCAAUAACUGAAUUGCUCAAGUGCAAUAACUCUUUACCUUCAGCGGUCUUUCUCUUUCCAUCUUAUUUUGCUCAACAGGCUCAUCUUCUCUGCCACCUGAUGGGUGAACACACAUAAAAAGCAAAUUCAGAAAGGCAAUUCAUUGUCACGUGCCCAACAUACCAACACUUAUAUACAUCUGUUAUCUCCAAGCAACAUAUUUAAGAAGAGCAACUUCAUGAAGUUUUCCUUAUAGAUAUCUCACAGUUGUUCAUUUCAUGUUAAGAUUAUUGCAUGUUACGAUGCAAAUAGAAAAGUUGAUACUACAAAAUUUGUCCCCACAAGUAAUUUACAUGUUAGGAUGAUGUCACAAAGUUAAUUCUACAAACUCGAGUCAAAACUUAUUUCCCAAAUGCUACCUGAAAACAAUUUUUUUCAAAUAGAGUUCAUAUGCACUACUAAGCUGAGAGUGAUUGAAAAUAUAGAGACAAAGCGCAUAUUCUUAAGUAUGAUGUAUUCAAAAUCACCUGAUGGUCAAACUCUGCUCGCUCUAUUGCCCGCAUGUCACUGUGGAGCUUCAGGUCUGUUGGUAUUGUUAUUUCUUUUACCGGAGGUUUCAGUAAGCACUGAGAUGACAAAUACAAAGAUAUGCAUACAAGUUAGUGGUUCGGUCUUGUCUGUCUUGCAAUAGCAAUAAAAUCACUUAAAUAUAGUCAUUUUCAUGUGAUUUUGAAUUGGUAUCUAUACUUCUAGUUCGUCAGUUGUCCAUGGGAGGCCCUGAGCAAUUGGUUUCCGCUGUCUAUCCUCCUCCAUCAUCAUCUCUUGUAGCUUCUUCGUGAACUCUUCCCCUUUCCUACAAUGAUAUCACAAAACGAAGUUAGAAGCAACGUAAACCAAGUAAACUUUCAAGUGCUUUUCGAUACCAUUCAUUUUCAGCACAGUUUAUGUCACAUCCCCGCUCGAACCCCACCACAUCCCGGCUCGACUCCACCAUAGCACGAUAUUAUUCACUUUGGGCCCCGACCACGCCCUUACGGUUUUGUUUCUAGGAACUCACACGAGAACUUCCCAGUAGGUCACCCAUCUUACAAUACACCUCCUUAGGGGCCCAACGUCCUCGUCAGCACAUUUCCGCCCAGAGAUUGGCUCUGAUACCAAAUUAUCACAUCCGGCCUGGGCCCCCACCACAUCUUAGGCUCGACUCCGCUAUAACACGAUAUUGUUUGCUUUAGGCCCCGACCACGCCCUCAAGGUUUUGUUUCUGGGAACUCACACGAGAAAUUCCCAGUGGGUCACCCAUCCUGGGAUUGCUCUCGCGUGAACUCGCUUAACUUCGGAGUUCCUACGAAACUCGAAGCCAGUGAGCUCUCAAAAGGCCUCGUGCUAAGUAGAGAUGGGAAUGUACAUAUAAGGCUUACAGGAUUCUCACACUUGGGCGAUGUGGGAUCUAACACUUUACCACUAUUCUUAGCUUGAAUGGCUUAGCGCUAGUGUCUCUCUGUUGCUUCUUCUUCUUCCAUCUCCCUUAUCCGAUUGUGCUAGAAGAUUCAGAGCUCUGAAAUUCAAACCGGAAUACAGAGGUAACCUGGGUUAGUUAAUCAUUUUCAAUCUCCAAAUAAUGUAAAAACAGUAAGGACAAGACUCACAUUUCUUCGGCUCCUUUGCACCCCCCUCAAAAUUCAAAGUCCUGUUUGAGACACUGUUUAGUCAAAAGAGCACAACCAAACUCAGUCAGGACAUACAACAAACACCUGAUGUGCAUCAAAUUCUCAUGCUAACCUUAAUCAAGUAUAAUUGCUAACCUUCCCAGACUUCCAUCCCAAGAAGAAGAGACUAAAGUUCGCCAAUCCAGACCAAGAUUAUCUGACGUCAAGAACAAGUCCGACGAGAAAAACGAAUAAGAUGAGACCUGUGUUUCCGACGCCUUAGGCUGAGGUUGCAAUCCGGGUAAUGCCCACUUCACCACCUUCUUCCCAAUCUCUUCCGCCGCUUCCUCCUCCCCAUUCUGCUCAUCCGAAUCCUUCGAGCUCGGAAUCGAAAGCAACUUCUCAAACGCCUGAACAAAAUGCAUCACCUUCCCACUUUUCGGCACGCUCUUCCUCGCCUCUUCUAGCAACUAAGACCUACAAAAACUUCCAUUCUUCUCGGCCCAGGUCACAAACAACCUUGAUUCACCUUCCUCGUCCCCAAUCUUCGACAUGCAUACAGAAAAUGGAAUAAAGAUUUAAAAUCUAGAAUCAAUCCAAAAGCUGAACACUUUUAUUUUGGAAAAGAACUUACAUUGAGGGAUAGCCCACGAGGAGAGGAUCAUCUUUACCUCUUGGGUCAAGUUCAAUUCCGGCAAGCUUGACCGUAAAUUGGCCGGAAAACCCCCGGUUACUGUUUCUUAGAUUUGAAAUUAAGGAAAUUCGGCUUCGAAUUUGAUGAAACUAACUUGGGCGUUGGAAAGAGGACGAGAAGAGAAUUUUGGAGGUACAAGUUGACGGUCGUUGGUGUUCUCAUCGCUAUCGUUUGUGUUCGACUCCCGUUGUCGGCGCCGUUGCGUGAAGAGAAGAGGGAAAAAAGAGAGAAUGAAGCGAAUGAGGUGUUGGACGUUUGUGAAGGGGAGAGAGAGGAUUUAGAUUUUUACACAAAAGCAAGACACCAAUCUCAGCUUAAAAGACACCAAAAAUAAAAGGACACCAAUAAAAAAAUUAAAGAGAUUUUUCAGUGUGAUCAGUACACGGGAUGGUACACCACGUGUCACUAUACAAAUGGUGAGAUAUGUGUACUAGAAAGUUAAUAAAUUAAAGAAUAACCAUAUGUGUUCCUGUCACAAUGGAAAUUUUCUCCACAAAUUAGAAGGCCACUAGUAUUAGUGGCAUUAACUAAAAAGACACCAAAAAAAGCCAAGAAUGCCAUCUUAAUGUCUAUAGUCACCAAUUGUAAAUGGUGUGUAAAUAUUAGUGUUCUAUUACUAUAAUUCUAGUAGUGCGAGGCUCUUAUCUUUUUGUUUUUGCUCUUUAUUUCAGUUUUUCAAAUUUUUAUUUGUUUGUGGGGGAUUUCAAAAUACAAAUGGACUAUUUUAUCAAUUGAGCCAUUAUAUAAUAUGUGAGAAGAUACAUGUCUUAUUAUUCGCCUUCAUCUCGUGCUGCUAUAGAACAACAUUAAGGCAACUAAACUCUCAAUUAGAGACUACAAAAAAUUCGGGUUUUCAUUACAUCUCGAUAAUUACAUUCGUUUUUUAAUAUAUUCGGUUUAUUUUUUGUCGUGACCCAUUAUGAUAAUAAGAAUAAGAAGGAAAUUAAACUAAAUUUAAAGUAUUAGAAAUGUGAAAUCUACUAAAAAAUUUGAGAAAAGCCUCAAAGUUUGGAUUGAAUAAUAUGAAAGAUAACACUAUAUCACCACGGAAAAUAGUUUUAUAGUUUUCCACAAAUCUAUGUUUGCGAGAAAAUCCUAAGUGAAAGCAAAAUACCUUUGAACAGAAAACCAUAUCAUAAGUUCAAAUCGGAGUUGAUAGCCUAAGUCUAUGUUGUGUGGAUCAUGCUAUAUGAUUUAAUAUAAUAAAUUUAUCGUUUGACAAAAAAUAAAAUAAAAUCCUUAACCAUUAAAUUCUUGGUUGUAUAUUCAACCAUUCAUUCAUUUAAUUGGUUACUAAUAUGAGAUGGUCCAUUCUAGAAUACUCACACCCAAUUAAUCUUGUGAUCACCAUCAUAUUCAUUAAGGACAACAUUUGCAUACAUCUAUCUACACAUUUGUGGAUACUAACUGUACAAGUAUCAUAAUAAAAAACACUCAUUUGACUAAUGGAAUUUGUACGGUUAGUAUCCACAAAUGUAUCAACCUCAUGCCCAAAAGAAAAAUAAAGCCCGAAAUUAUUUUAAUUAAAAUCAUAUCCAAUAAACCUAAACAACUAAUGCAAUAUAAUUAGCAAUUAAUUAUAUCUUAUCAUCAUUCAUGUAACGUUAUUAGAACUUACCAUGUGUGUGACCUCUUAGGUUCUAACUAAAAGUUCAUAUAUUUGACCACCAACACGUGAUUAGUGUAUAUUUACUGUAAAAAAUGUUGUUUAGAAAUUAAACCUUCGUAGUGAAGAUUGUUAGGAAUUGAGCACCAAAUUAACUACUGCUGAAAACUAAAUAAUUAAGAUGCUGGACCACAACGGACGGUUUGCUACGUGAAUCUGACUCUGCAUGUCGUGGAAUGGAUUCAGCAAAUGCAUAACAUCCGUUCAUUAUUGAAUUUUAAUUUUAGGCCUACACCUACUCUUUUCGCAUCUUGUGACUUAAUUAGAUUCGGAUACUUCCAAGAAACUCGCAAGUAUCAAUCCCCAAAUAUUUAUGUUGCUUAGAAAAAUUAGUUUACCUGUUAUUUAUAUAUUUAUUAUCAAUGAAUUAUAUUACCUGUUAGGCUCCUAAAAUUGAGAACUUUAUAUUAUAUAAUUAUCAUUGUAAUAAUAUUUUAAAUCUGUUAUAUAGUAUUAACUAUUAUUAUGGGGUGAAAUUUGCAAUUAAACAUAGAGGUUUUUCUCUCGAGAUGUGCUAAGCAGACUUUCUCAAAGUGAAACUCUUCAUGUAUUCUCCGUCUCCUCAUGUUUUUAGCACAAUAUUUUAUAAUGUUAACGCGAGAAUUGUGCAAAAAACCUGAUGUGGUGGAGAGUCCAUCAAAAGUCUCCUUAACAUUUCUCUUUUUCAUAAUGAGAUACCAAUUCCAAAUCCAAAGGAAGUGAUAUACCCAAAAGUGUGAUUGUAACGGAGAAUAAUAUAUUUGACAAAAAUCGUGCAUGAGAUGAUAGAAUAUCAACCACGGAAUGACCAAAUAAGAUAAGAAAAUGUUACUAACAUUCCAAAAAGAAGUAUUUUGUUUUACACGAGUAAUUGAUGGAAUUGUGGGACACUUCCAAGUGCAAUUCAUCUUCUGAUUGACACUGUUGCAUUGUCUAGCACAUUUUGUUAUGUAAAAUACUUGGCUCAUUUCCUUAGAAAUAAAUCAUUUUAUAUACAUACCAAUCACAUUGAACAUGUGCACAUAAAUUUUUUUAUUUAUAUUUUCAGUGACUUAUUUCUUACUUGUCAAAAAUUAAUUUACAAAAGUAAAUUAACUGCCCCUCCUCGGAAAGGAGCCAAGAAUAUCCGUCCGUUAAUUGGUAACGGAUACUAAUCCUUUUCCUAAGAGAAAUUGGAUAAUAAUUUGGUUUUGGAUUAUCCUAAUUUUACAUAGCUGUACAAGCGCAACUUGACCAAAUCACACUCCUUCAAACUCAUAUAAAUACCAUCCCCGCAUCCACUCUAUUUCCAUCAACAAAUCAAGCAAGUCUGUGUAUUCCAAUUUCCGUGUAUUCUUAGUCCAUUUUACUUGAAGAAGACGAAGUUUGUGUCUUUCAAACACAAGAAAACACUUUAAGAAAAAUACAGAGAAGAGUAAAGAAUGGGUAAGGGAGGCCAAUCCAGCAAUGGCGUGGUAAGAGAAGCCAAACCUGUUGAGCAGCAAAACAUGGCUGCUUGGCUCGUUGAUGUUAACACCAUCAAGAUCCUACCUUUCAAGCUCCCCAUUAUCGGUAUGUAUCUCUCUCCUUGUUCUUAAUUCCCUCCUAGCUUUCGUUGGGUUUUCAGUUUAUGGUUCUUGGUUAUGUUUUCUUAGUUGUAUUGGUGCUAACAUCUUGCUCCCUUGUUUUGUUGGGAUUUCUUAAUUUUAGGACCCCAUGAUGUUCGAAUUCGGAUCAAGGCUGUCGGCAUUUGUGGAAGCGAUGUCCACUACCUCAAGACCAUGAAAUGUGCGGAUUUUGAGGUGAAAGAGCCAAUGGUAAUCGGACACGAGUGUGCAGGAAUCGUAGACAAAGUUGGGAGCGCGGUGAAGCAUUUGGUACCUGGGACCGUGUGGCGGUAGAGCCCGGCAUCAGCUGCGCACGGUGCCGGCAGUGCAAAGGAGGCCGCUAUAAUCUUUGCCCUGAUAUGAAGUUUUUCGCCACCCCACCGGUUCAUGGUUCCUUGGCUAAUCAGAUUGUGCACCCUGCAGAUCUUUGCUUUAAAUUGCCAAAAAACGUGAGUUUGGAGGAAGGGGCAAUGUGUGAGCCCUUGAGUAUUGGGGUUCACGCUUGUCGGCGAGCCAAUGUUGGUCCCGAAACAACUGUUCUGAUCACCGGAGCAGGGCCUAUUGGUCUCGUUUCAGUUUUAGCCGCUCGUGCUUUCGGGGCACCAAGAAUUGUGAUUGUGGAUAUGGAUGACAAGCGUCUAGCAAUGGCAAAGUCUCUCGGUGCUGAUGAAACCGUGAAAGUUUCGACAAAAAUGGAGGACUUAGAUGAUGAAGUUGCUGAAAUUAAAAAAGCCAUGAUCUCCGAAGUGGAUGUGACCUUCGAUUGUGUGGGUUUCAACAAAACCAUGUCGACCGGCCUCAAUACUACUCGUCCGGGCGGAAAAGUCUGCCUGGUAGGAAUGGGACACGGUGUGAUGACGGUGCCUCUGACUCCCGCUGCUGCUAGGGAGGUUGACGUUGUUGGAGUUUUCCGAUACCAGAACACAUGGCCGCUUUGCCUCGAGUUUUUGAGAAGUGGGAAGAUCGAUGUGAAGCCGCUUAUCACGCACCGUUUUGGAUUUACUGAGAAUGAGGUGGAAGAAGCGUUUGCAACAAGUGCUCGUGGGGGUAACGCCAUCAAAGUGAUGUUCAAAUUGUAAAGACAAAGACAGGUUUUGA
rnacentral:lncRNA from 1 species